GACGAACGCUGGCGGCGUGCUUAACACAUGCAAGUCGAACGGGUCUGCCCUGUUUUUUGCGGGGUGGGUCAGUGGCGAACGGGUGAGUAACACGUGAGUAACCUGCCCCUCACUUCUGGAUAACCGCUUGAAAGGGUGGCUAAUACGGGUUGUUCUUGCUGUGCCGCAUUGUGUGGCUGGGAAAGAUUCACUUUUGUGGUGUUUUGGUGGGGGAUGGGCUCGCGGCCUAUCAGCUUGUUGGUGGGGUGAUGGCCUGCCAAGGCUUUGACGGGUAGCCGGCCUGAGAGGGUGGGAGGUCACAGUGGGACUGAGGUACGGCCCAGACUCAUGCGGGAGGCAGCAGUGGGGGGUAUGGAACAAUGGGCGGAAGCCUGAUGCAGCGACGUCGCGUGAGGGAUGGAGGCCUUCGGGUUGUGAACCUCUUUCGCCGGUGAAGAAGGUCCUGCUCUUUGUGGUGGGGUUGACGGUAGCCGGGUUAUGAAGCGCCGGCUAACUACGUG
rnacentral:rRNA from 1 species